GAUGAACGCUGGCGGCGUGCCUAACACAUGUAAGUCGAACGGAGUCCAGCCUUUAAGACCUUCGGGUCAAAGAGGGGAAGACUGAGUGGCGGACGGGUGAGUAACACGUGGGCAACCUGGCUCAUAGAGGGGGAUAACAGAGAGAAAUUUCUGCUAAUACCGCAUAAGCACACACUGCCGCAUGGCAGAGGGUGAAAAGAGAAUCGCUAUGAGAUGGACCCGCGUCUGAUUAGCCAGUUGGCAGGGUAAGAGCCUACCAAAGCGACGAUCAGUAGCCGAUCUGAGAGGAUGAACGGCCACAUUGGGACUGAGACACGGCCCAAACUCCUACGGGAGGCAGCAGUGGGGGAUAUUGCACAAUGGGGGGAACCCUGAUGCAGCGACGCCGCGUGAGUGAAGAAGUAUUUCGGUAUGUAAAGCUCUAUCAGCAGGGAAGAUAAUGACAGUACCUGAAUAAGAAGCCCCGGCUAACUACGUG
rnacentral:rRNA from 1 species